UACAGAGGGUGCGAGCGUUGUUCGGAGUUACUGGGCGUAAAGGGUGCGUAGGUGGCUCUAUAAGUAUGGUGUGAAAUCUCCCGGCUUAACUGGGAGGGUGCGCCGUAGACUGUGGGGCUAGAGUGUGGGAGAGGAAAGUGGAAUUCCUGGUGUAGCGGUGAAAUGCGUAGAUAUCAGGAGGAACACCGGUGGUGUAAACGGCUUUCUGGACCAUAACUGACACUGAGGCACGAAAGCGUGGGUAGCAAACAGG
rnacentral:rRNA from 1 species